rnacentral:piRNA from 1 species
UGUGUUCAUAACUAUGACUGA